GCCAGCCCACCGCUCUUCAGGGUGCUCUGUGGAGUCUAAGCUGCUUUAAGGCUGGCCCCUAGGAAUGGGGGCUUUUGUCUCAAGGCAAAGGACCUUAGACAUGGCACACCGUGCCCAGGCGUUAUUCAUCUCUGUCCCAGCUGUAUGUAAAGUUGUAUCUUUCCCCAGGAGAGCUCAGAAUUGGGAUACCUGGCUGCUGCUCAACCCCAAAGGCCUUGGGAGCAGGCAGCACCCCUCUCUCCUGUGACAGCACACCAUAUCCCGUGGCAGCACACCAUAUCCUGUGACAGCACACCAUAUCCCGUGACAGCACACCAUAUCCUGUGACAGCACACCAUAUCCCGUGACAGCACACCAUCUCACCGAGCGCUGAAAACCCCUUUGCUCCACUGCCCUGGGCGUUGUCAAGUCCUUCUCACCUCCUGCCCACCACCAGCAUCUUCUGCCUGGCAAGGAACCGCUGGCCCCUUGGAGCAGCUCCUCAGCCCCUGCUUUUCCUCGCCAGCCAAUCUCGCCCGAAGAAGCCGCUUUGAUCAAUGCACUUGGAUUUCAGCCUUCAGCCUUGAUCAAGGCAGGAGGAGGGACGGGAGGGAGCGAGUACUCGCAGGCUCUUUGGGGACAGUCUGGGAAGCGGAGCUGCUUCUCCAAGAACAGCCUGCUUCAAAGAGCCUUUCUGAGAGUGUUGCUCCCAACACCACUGCCAAGUCUCAGGAGAGAAGGAAUCUCUUUCCAGCAGACUUUCGUGGGCUUUGGAAGAGCCCCCUGAUCUAUGGCAAAUGAGGAGAUGACUUGAAUGGAGCAGUCCCAAUCCAAAUAACACUCUUCUCCCAGGAGCCUCCUGAGAUUUAUAGGAUUUUACAUCCCUGGACACUAUUUGGGGUGGUUUAUGUGCCACAUUUUUUUACUGUUAUGCUGGCAAAACAACCAUAGAAUCUAGCUUGGGAAAACAAGGUGGGAGAUAAAUCCUCGUGGCGUGGGCUCUCCCAGCAAUAAAAUGGGCUACAGGUGGAGAAAUAGGCCCUUG
rnacentral:lncRNA from 1 species